rnacentral:rRNA from 1 species
UACGUAGGGAGCAAGCGUUGUCCGGAAUCAUUGGGCGUAAAGCGCGCGUAGGUGGCCCCAUAAGUCCGCUGUGAAAGUCAAAGGCUCAACCUUUGAAAGCCGGUGGAUACUGUGGGACUAGAGUACGGAAGAGGCGAGUGGAAUUCCUGGUGUAGCGGUGGAAUGCGCAGAUAUCAGGAGGAACACCAUUAGCGAAGGCAGCUCGCUGGGACGUUACUGACACUGAGGCGCGAAAGCGUGGGGAGCGAACAGG